CAAGUCGAGCGAACGGACGAGAAGCUUGCUUCUCUGAUGUUAGCGGCGGACGGGUGAGUAACACGUGGAUAACCUACCUAUAAGACUGGGAUAACUUCGGGAAACCGGAGCUAAUACCGGAUAAUAUUUUGAACCGCAUGGUUCAAAAGUGAAAGACGGUCUUGCUGUCACUUAUAGAUGGAUCCGCGCUGCAUUAGCUAGUUGGUAAGGUAACGGCUUACCAAGGCAACGAUGCAUAGCCGACCUGAGAGGGUGAUCGGCCACACUGGAACUGAGACACGGUCCAGACUCCUACGGGAGGCAGCAGUAGGGAAUCUUCCGCAAUGGGCGAAAGCCUGACGGAGCAACGCCGCGUGAGUGAUGAAGGUCUUUGGAUCGUAAAACUCUGUUAUUAGGGAAGAACAUAUGUGUAAGUAACUGUGCACAUCUUGACGGUACCUAAUCAGAAAGCCACGGCUAACUACGUGC
rnacentral:rRNA from 1 species